CAUUUAGAGGAAGUAAAAGUCGUAACAAGGUUCCGUAGGUGAACCUGCGGAAGGAUCAUUAUUGAAUAAACCUGAUGUGACUGUUAGCUGGCUUUUCGAAGCAUGUGCUCGUCCGUCAUCUUUAAUCUCUCCACCUGUGCACAUUUUGUAGUCUUGGAUACCUCUCGAGGCAACUCGGAUUUUAGGAUUGCCGUGCUGUAAAAGUCAGCUUUCCUGUCAUUUCCAAGACUAUGUUUUUAUAUACACCAAAGUAUGUUUAAAGAAUGUCAUCAAUAGGAACUUGUUUCCUAUAAAAUUAUACAACUUUCAGCAACGGAUCUCUUGGCUCUCGCAUCGAUGAAGAACGCAGCGAAAUGCGAUAAGUAAUGUGAAUUGCAGAAUUCAGUGAAUCAUCGAAUCUUUGAACGCACCUUGCGCUCCUUGGUAUUCCGAGGAGCAUGCCUGUUUGAGUGUCAUUAAAUUCUCAACCUUCCAGCUUUUAUUAGCUUGGUUAGGCUUGGAUGUGGGGGUUGUGGGCUUCAUUAAUGAGGUCAGCUCUCCUUAAAUGCAUUAGCGGAACUUUUGUGGACCGUCUAUUGGUGUGAUAAUUAUCUACGCCGUGGAUGUGAAGCAGCUUUAUAAAGUUCAGCUUCUAAUCGUCCAUUGACUUGGACAAUUUUUGACAAUUUGACCUCAAAUCAGGUAGGACUACCCGCUGAACUUAAGCAUAUCAAUAA
rnacentral:rRNA from 1 species